rnacentral:rRNA from 1 species
AUACGUAGGUGACAAGCGUUAUCCGGAUUUACUGGGCGUAAAGGGCGUGUAGGCGGUCUUGCAAGUCAGAAGUGAAAUUCCUGAGCUCAACUCGGGCGCUGCUUCUGAAACUGCAGGACUUGAGUGCUGGAGGGGAUAGCGGAAUUCCUAGUGGAGCGGUAAAAUGCGCAGAUAUUAGGAAGAACACCGGUGGCGAAGGCGGCUAUCUGGACAGUAACUGACGCUGAGGCGCGAAAGCGUGGGGAGCAAACAGGAUUAGAUACCCUGGUAGUCCACGCUGUAAACGAUGAUUACUAGGUGUGGGGGGACUGACCCCUUCCGUGCCGCAGUUAACACAAUAAGUAUUCCACCUGGGGAGUACGAUCGCAAGAUUGAAACUCAAAUGAAUUGACGGGG